UACGGAGGGUGCGAGCGUUGUCCGGAAUCACUGGGCGUAAAGGGCGCGUAGGCGGCCUGAUAAGUAGGGGGUGAAAUCCUGCGGCUUAACCGCAGGGCUGCCUUCUAAACUGUUAGGCUGGAGCACAGUAGAGGCAGGUGGAAUUCCCGGUGUAGCGGUGGAAUGCGUAGAGAUCGGGAAGAACAUCAGUGGCGAAGGCGGCCUGCUGGGCUGUUGCUGACGCUGAGGCGCGACAGCGUGGGGAGCAAACAGG
rnacentral:rRNA from 1 species